AUUGAACGCUGGCGGCAGGCCUAACACAUGCAAGUCGAACGGUAACAGGAAGCAGCUUGCUGCUUUGCUGACGAGUGGCGGACGGGUGAGUAAUGUCUGGGAAACUGCCUGAUGGAGGGGGAUAACUACUGGAAACGGUAGCUAAUACCGCAUAACGUCGCAAGACCAAAGAGGGGGACCUUAGGGCCUCUUGCCAUCGGAUGUGCCCAGAUGGGAUUAGCUAGUAGGUGGGGUAACGGCUCACCUAGGCGACGAUCCUAGCUGGUCUGAGAGGAUGACCAGCCACACUGGAACUGAGACACGGUCCAGACUCCUACGGGAGGCAGCGGUGGGGAAUAUUGCACAAUGGGCGCAAGCCUGAUGCAGCCAUGCCGCGUGUAUGAAGAAGGCCUUCGGGUUGUAAAGUACUUUCAGCGGGGAGGAAGGGAGUAAAGUUAAUACCUUUGCUCAUUGACGUUACCCGCAGAAGAAGCACCGGCUAACUCCGUG
rnacentral:rRNA from 1 species